rnacentral:lncRNA from 1 species
GUUUUGGGGUGACCUCUGCUGUCUGGACUGUUCCGUGUCACCGCUGGUGGGGGCUGGCCUUGAAUUCACUGUGUAGCCCAGACUGGCUUCAAACUUCCAAUUCUUCCACCUCAACUGCCCAAGUAGUGGAAUUACAGAACACAGAAUUAUAUAUGAAUGUAGAGUGGACCCUCAAGUAACAACCAGCCUGACGUACAUAUUGACCUACAACCAACCUGAGUUACAACCAGCCCUUGGGAACUGAUUGAGUUUGUAAAUCGGGAUAAGGUCAGUCUUUUUUGUUGGUACUGGGGAUCGAACUCGGGACCUUGCGCUUUCGAGGCAGGUGCUGGAACCACUGAGCUAAAUCCCUGGCUCUCUAUUUAUUUUCCUACUUGAUGAUAGGGCUCGAAAGAAGUGAGGUAAAACAUCUUAUUAUCAGUGUGUUUCUGUCAUUUUCUCCCAGCUUGUGAGAAAUACUGUUUCACUGUGAUCAUAAAGUUUAUCGCGUUAGGUGACUCUUUUGUAUAACUUUGUGAGUUUUCCUUGAAUUCUGCUUUCUCUGAUAUGAAUGUUAUACACUUCUACUUUUUAAAAACUUAGGUAUCAUCAUUUUACCUAUAAUUGUGCUUAUAAUUUGACUUUCAGGUUUUUUGAGUCACAUUUGUUUGCUAUAUAAGCAUAUACUCAGCGUUUUCUUUUUCAAUCCAAUCUGAGAAUGUUUACCUUUUAUUAAUUUUAUGAUUGUAUUCUGAUUCCCUUUAUCUGAGGGUAAGGUAUGUGUGUCUAUUUUUUCUUUUCUUCUGUUUUUUUUCUUUUUUGGUCUUUUGAGACAGGGACUCAUUAUGUGACCUAGGCUGGCCUUGAACUGCCUCAGAAAGUGGCAAGGAUGAUGGGAUGAGUGUGCUCAAAGUGAGAGGGAGAAGUUUGAGGAAGCUUAAUGGCAAUGUGUCUCUCAGUAUAAUGAAGUUUUUCAAAUGUAGCCCUUCACUAUAGUUUUUGAUCACUGUGCUGAUCUGCGCAGUGUAUUAGAGGAGUCGUAUAUCUAAGGGCAUUGGAUGGUGGCUUUCUUUAAAGCACAAAGCUGUGUAUUCAGUCACAGAUUAUUUAUUGAGGAACUAUGAUGUGUAAGGCCAUAGGAAUAAAACAGGGACCAGGAGAGCACAGUUCACAAGGGAAGGGCAGGAAAAUAGAAGCAAGGGGUGAAUUGUGAAAAAAAUUGUAAGUUAUUUCCUAAUUGUAAAUGUCUACCUUGAUUAACGAUCAUAGAAUGAGCACCCCGUGUAGGCGCUUCCCAGGUGAGAAGGAAUAUUUCAGCAUCCAGAAGCCCCUGCCUCGUGCUCCCUCCCAUUACCAAAGCAAUCAUUCCACUUUUCACCCCUCAUGUAGGUUGUAGUGGUUUCACUUCUUUGCCAACAGUGAUACUUCAUCCCGGUUUAAAUCAGAACCAGGUUUGAUUUUGGAAAAGGAAAAGUGUGUGAUGUCCUUCUGCCUGGGUCUUACGGAGUAGUUUGUCAUCCUUACAGAGGUGGCUGCUGAACUUCGUAACGGAAGAAGUAUCUAUGGGGUUCGGAUGGGAAAGGAGUCUGGGUGCCAGCACUGUACGGGCGCAUGGCAGGAGGGGCUGGGAAUCGGAUCUGGGUCAGGGUCAGGGUCAGGGUCCCCAGUGUAGAACUGGUCUCCCCACUCCCACACCCUCCUCAGCCUCCUGGUUCCCCACAGCCUCCAACUCGUGGGGAGCUCCUGCCCCAGACAGGCACCUGUCGGAGCCACCGGACCCAAACUCUCCUGUUUUGCCCUCCUAUGUUCAAUCCUUCCGCCUUGCUAUUUAUGAUGCUGGCUGUGAAGCCUAUGCAAAUGCUUUAUGUUGCCUGGGCUAACUAAAAACACCCCAGACCUCCCCAGAGCUGGAGGCACCUGAUCUCAAGCCAGGAGCUGGCGGCUGCCCUGGCAGGAUGGAGAGUCCCAGCUGGUCAAUCAUUCACCAAUGGAAUGGAGAAGGUGGUGAGCUUUUAAACAGAAAGCCCAAAGGGGAAGGCCUCUACCAAUGUGUGCUGGGUUUGCCUGGGGCGGAGCUGGCCGAGCCAGGGCUGACAGGAAGAAGAGGCAGGUGACCGGCCUCCCUGGGGCUGAGCCCUCCCUGAUUUAUGGGAUGACCCCGCUGGCCUUUCCCAGGCCAGAAAUGGGCUGUUCACAGUGCCUUCCCCUGCCACACGCCUGCAAAGCUGGCAGGUAGGAAUUUUUUUUUUUGGUACUGGGGAUCAAACUCGGGUCCUUGUGCUUGCAAGGCAGGUGGUGGAACCACUGAGCUAGAUCCCCGGCCUGAGGUAGGAUUUUAAGGUAUAUUUACUUGAAUGAAGUUUCUGUGUUUUCCUUUGGAUAGUUACCCAGUUAAUGACUUUGUGCUUUUUGAUUCAGAAAUGAUUUAAAAUAUCCAGGACGUCAGAUUGCAUUUUCUCUUUCUCUCUCUCUGUCUCUCUUGCAUAUAUAUCUCUUCUUAGGCAUGAAAGGGGUGAGGAAUGAAGAUUUUACAGCUCUGAUUUCAUUUGUCUCAGGUCGUCGCUUCCUGCAGAAGGCGCCAGCACCUGGCUUGCCUUGGCUCUGGCCUGACUCAGUUAGCAGGGCUGGUUCCGGGCACUCUGCCUGCUUCCUCCCGGAAGGAAUGAGCCUCCAGUCUGUGGGACAUACUGGAGACAGCCAGCAGCGACAGGGCCACAGUGGCUGACAUGAAAGUAGGAUGCCUGGGGCGAUUUCAGAGUCCUUUGAUACCAAAGGCCAAACUCAUGAAUCUAUUGCCGUAGGUUACAGCUGCUGUGAGUACAGGAAGUAGCUUCCCAGAGACCCCUGGGAAAAGGUUAUUUUUUUUCUCUGGGGUUCCACAAAGUGGACGAGUCCAGUGCCUGUCCUCAGGGGUGCAUGGAGGAGUUUUUGGGAGCUCCGGGGCAGUAAAGACUUCAGGGCCUGGCAGUCAGUGGUUAAUCAAGGUGACCCUAAGGACUGAAAAUCGGUCCCCUACCCUUUCGAAGUCAAGGGCCUCCAUUAGGGCUGAGGCCCAAGAGCUCCUGAGGCAGGAGGAGGGAACCAGUCCCCAGCUGACUUGAGACCUGCCUGGACCAGAGCCAAAUUUGACUUGCUUUAGAGAAACAAAGAAACAUCAUUUCUUAACCCACAAAGGGCAGAUUGUAAUAUAUACCUCUCAUGGAGGCUUCCUAGAAAACAUUUGAGCCUGAC